rnacentral:misc_RNA from 1 species
GAUGAAGAACGUAGCGAAAUGCGAUAAGUAAUGUGAAUUGCAGAAUUCAGUGAAUCAUCGAAUCUUUGAACGCACAUUGCGCCCGCCAGUAUUCUGGCGGGCAUGCCUGUUCGAGCGUCAUUUCAACCAUCAAGCCCCCGGCUUGUGUUGGGGACCUGCGGCUGCCGCAGGCCCUGAAAACCAGUGGCGGGCUCGCUGUCACACCGAGCGUAGUAGAUUUUCAUCUCGCUCAGGGCGUGCUGCGGGUUCCGGCCGUAAAAAGCCUUAUUUACCCAAGGUUGACCUCGGAUCAGGUAGGAAGACCCGCUGAACUUAAGCAUAUCAAAAGCGAGGA